rnacentral:misc_RNA from 1 species
CCGUGGGGAUCCGUCCCCAUCGAGAUAGCACCCUUUGUUUAUGAGUACCAUUUGUUUCCUCGGCGGGUCUGCCUGGACCCGCCGCUAGGACCCCCCAAAAAACCUUUGUAGUUGCAGUACCUUCAGUAAAUAACAAAAAUAUCA